AAUCAACGCUGGCGGCGUGCCUCAGACAUGCAAGUCGAACGCGAAAUUUCCCUUCGGGGUGAAAGUAGAGUGGCGCACGGGUGAGUAACACGUAGGUAAUUUGCCUUUGGGUGGGGAAUAACUCAGGGAAACUUGAGCUAAUACCGCAUAAUGCAGCGGCUCGACAUCGAGACAGUUGUUAAAGCGGGGGAUUGGAGCAAUCCGACCUCGCGCCUAAAGAGAAGCCUGCGGCGGAUUAGCUAGUUGGUAAGGUAAUGGCUUACCAAGGCGACGAUCUGUAACCGGCCUGAGAGGGCGGUCGGUCACACUGACACUGACAUACGGGUCAGACUCCUACGGGAGGCAGCAGUCGGGAAUUUUGGGCAAUGGGCGCAAGCCUGACCCAGCAACGCCGCGUGAAGGAUGAAAUUUUUCGGAAUGUAAACUUCGCAAGAACAGGAAGAAUAAGUGUGGGACAAUACCCACAUGAUGACGGUACUGUUUGUAAGCUCCGGCUAAC
rnacentral:rRNA from 1 species